UACGUAGGGUGCAAGCGUUGUCCGGAAUUAUUGGGCGUAAAGCGCGUGUAGGCGGCUUUGCAAGUCGGGUGUGAAAUCCCUCAGCUCAACUGAGGAAGUGCGCCCGAAACUGCAGAGCUUGAGUACCGGAGAGGAUGGCGGAAUUCCCCAAGUAGAGGUGAAAUUCGUAGAUAUGGGGAGGAACACCGGUGGCGAAGGCGGCCAUCUGGACGGAUACUGACGCUGAGACGCGAAAGCGUGGGGAGCAAACAGG
rnacentral:rRNA from 1 species